AAGGCUAUAGCCCACCCGUUUUUGUGGCCUUUUUCCGCUGGACGAACUGGGCGCCCCGGCCUUCUGGCGGUUAUUUUUGGGCGCGGCUUUGCCCGCGGACUAUUUUUGGCACACGGAGGCCCCUCGCAAGGUCUCGCGGCAUUCCGAGUCCGGCGGACGAAGUGGGCCAGCCCCACCCCCCAUGGCUAUAGCCCACCCGUUUUUGUGGCCUUUUUCUGCUGGACGAACUUGGCGCCCCGGCCUUCGGCCGGUUAUUUUUGGGCGCGGCUUUGCCCGCGGCCUAAUUUUGGCACCCGGAGGCCCCUCGCAAAGUCUCGCGGCAUUCUAAGUCCGGCGGACGAAGUUGGCCAUCCCCACCCCCCAAGGCUAUAGCCCACCCGUUUUUGUGGCCUUUUUCUACUGGACGAACAUGGCUCCCCGGCCUUCGGGCGGUUAUUUUUGGGCGCGGCUUUGCCCGCAUCCUAUUUUUGGCACACGGAGGUCCCUCGCAAAGUCUCGCGGCAUUCCGACUCCGGCGGACAAAGUGGGCCAGCCCCACCCCCCAAGGCUAUAACCCACCCGUUUUUGUGGCCUUUUUCCGCUGGACGAACUGGGCGCCCCGGCCUUCGGGAGGUUAUUUUUGGGCGCGGCUUUGCCGCGGCCUAUUUUUUGCACACGGAGGCCCCUCGCAAAGUCUCGCGGCAUUCCGAGUCCGGCGGACGAAGUUGGCCAGCCCCACCACCCAAGGCUAUAGCCCACCCGUUUUUGUGGCCUUUUUCCGCUGGACGAACAUGGCGCCCCGGCCUUCGGGCAGUUAUUUUUGGGCGCGGCUUAGCCGGCGGCCUAUUUUUGGCACACGGAGGCCCCUCGGAAAGUCUCAUGGCAUUCUGAGUCCGGCGGACGAAGUUGGCCAGCCCCACCCCCCAAGGGUAUAGCCCACCCGUUUUUGUGGCCAUUUUCCGCUGGACGAACUUGGCGCCCCGGCCUUCGGGUGGUUAUUUUUCGGCGCGGCUUUAACCGCGGCCUAUUUUUCGCACACGGAGGCCCCUCGCAAAGUCUCGCGGCAUUCCGAGUCCGGCGGACGAAGUGGGCCAACCCCACCCCCCAAGGCUAUAGCCCACCUGUUUUUGUGGCCUUUUUCAGCUGGACGAACUUGGCGCCCCGGCCUUCGGGCGGUUAUUUUUGGGAGGGGCUUAACCCGCGGCCUAUUUUUGGCACACGGAGGCCCCUCGGAAAGUCUCGCGGCAUUCCGAGUCCGGCGGACGAAGUUGGCCAGCCCCACCCCCCAAGGCUAUAGCCCACCCUUUUUUGUGGCCUUUUUCCGCUGGACGAAUUUGGCGCCCCGGCCUUCGGGCGGUUAUUUUCGGGAGCGGCUUUGCCCGCGGCCUAUUUUUGGCACACAGAGGCACCUCGCAAAGUCUCGCGGCAUUCCGAGUCCGGCGGACGAAGUUGGCCAGCCCCACCCCCCAAGGCUACUAGCCCACCCGUUUUUGUGGCCAUUUUCCGCUGGACGAACUUGGCGCCCCGGCCUUCGGGUUGUUAUUUUUGGGUGCGGCUUUGCCCGCGGCCUAUUUUUGGCACACGGAGGACCCUCGCAAAGUCUCGCGGCAUUCCGAGUCCGGCGAACGAAGUGGGCCAGCCCCACCCCCCAAGUGUAUAGCCCACCCGUUUUUGUGGCCUUUUUCCGCUGGACGAACUUGGCACCCCCGCCUUCGGGCAGUUAUUUUUGGGUGCGGCUUAGCCCGCUGCCUAUUUUUGGCACACGGAGGCCCCUCGCAAAGUCUCGCAGCAUUCCGUGUCCGGCGUACGAAGUUGGCCAGCCCCACCCCCCAAGGCUAUAGCCCACCCGUUU
rnacentral:lncRNA from 1 species